UUGGGUUAAGUCCGUAACGAGCGCAACCCUGUCCUUAGUUACCAGCACGUUAUGGUGGGCACUCUAAGGAGACUGCCGGUGACAAACCGGAGGAAGGUGGGGAGUGACGUCAAGUCAUCAUGGCCCUUACGGCCUGGGCUACACACGUGCUACAAUGGUCGGUACAAAGGGUUGCCAAGCCGCGAGGUGGAGCUAAUCCCAUAAAACCGAUCGUAGUCCGGAUCGCAGUCUGCAACUCGACUGCGUGAAGCCGGAAUCGCUAGUAAUCGUGAAUCAGAAUGUCACGGUGAAUACGUUCCCGGGCCUU
rnacentral:rRNA from 1 species